UACGUAGGCAGCAAGCGUUGUUCGGAGUUACUGGGCGUAAAGGGUGUGUAGGCGGUCCUUUAAGUUUGGUGUGAAAUCUCCCGGCUUAACCGGGAGGGUGCGCCGAAAACUGAGGGGCUAGAGUGCGGGAGAGGAGAGUGGAAUUCCUGGUGUAGCGGUGAAAUGCGUAGAUAUCAGGAGGAACACCGGUGGUGUAGACGGCUCUCUGGACCGUAACUGACGCUGAAAACACGAAAGCGUGGGUAGCAAACAGG
rnacentral:rRNA from 1 species